UAGACAGUCGUACGGAUGUCACGAAAUUACACAGGAGUAGAAAGGAUAAUAAAGCAUUCAAGUUUGAUUCUAUGGUUGAGAUCUGUCUCAUCGGUCAACGGGCUAUCAUAGGUGAUAUCGAAGCUGUAUGCGGCCUGUGUAAACACACCCAUAAUAUCACGUGUAUUGAACCUGUACACACAUAUGAAAUGGAAAUGCGCAGCUUUCACAAGCUCGUCAUGCGCAGACAUCCCCAAACUGUAAAGAUGAUCAGAGCAAUGGUGGCUUUCAAGAUACAAAAUAGAUGGGAACGCAUUAGAAAUGAA